AACAAUAGUUUGAUAAACUCAUGGGCGGGUUGGCAUUCAUCUCCGAUAGAAAGGAGGUGGUGCCAAUGACAGUAUUCGAAGCACUGAUGAUUGCAUUGAACUUCGGAGUGCUGAUUGUAGCUAUGCUGUCAUUUGACCAAAAAAAAUAAGCCCCCCAUUGAGUUAACGGCUCCAGUGGGUGCUUAUUUUGAACCUAUACAGCCAAUCCCCCUUGCAGGGAAUCAUGCUAUUGCAUCAGAUCGUCAGCGCUGACACGCUGGCG
rnacentral:sRNA from 1 species